AAGUCGUAACAAGGUUUCCGUAGGUGAACCUGCGGAAGGAUCAUUAACACGUUUGAAUACGUUUUCUAUGAACCAUUUCAAUUUUCUGUGCACUUCUCGAAACCGGCCUCCUGAGCCGUCCUCCGGGUUUACUCGGUGCUGACGUGUUUGGGCGUCUUUGGGAAUCACAAAACGAAAAGGGGAUAGGCGGCAGGCAGGAACUUGGGUCUUCUUUUAACGAGGGAGACUUUUGAGAACCUCUUGUUGCUUGUUCUUUUUUUGCUUUGCCCUUAGGCGUUGCCACAACCCCAACCCUUUAACCUGUAUGUCUGAACUCUGAAGUUGGCGAAUUCACUUUUGCUAACGACAUUUAAAAACAAUAACAACUCUUAACAUCGGAUAUCUUGGUUCUC
rnacentral:misc_RNA from 1 species